rnacentral:rRNA from 1 species
UGGGGAAUAUUGGACAAUGGGGGGAGCCCUGAUCCAGCCAUGCCGCGUGUGUGAAGAAGGCCUUAUGGUUGUAAAGCACUUUAAGCGAGGAGGAGGCUCUCUUGGUUAAUACCCAAGAAGAGUGGACGUUACUCGCAGAAUAAGCACCGGCUAACUCUGUGCCAGCAGCCGCGGUAAUACAGAGGGUGCGAGCGUUAAUCGGAUUUACUGGGCGUAAAGCGUGCGUAGGCGGCUUUUUAAGUCGGAUGUGAAAUCCCCGAGCUUAACUUGGGAAUUGCAUUCGAUACUGGGAAGCUAGAGUAUGGGAGAGGAUGGUAGAAUUCCAGGUGUAGCGGUGAAAUGCGUAGAGAUCUGGAGGAAUACCGAUGGCGAAGGCAGCCAUCUGGCCUAAUACUGACGCUGAGGUACGAAAGCAUGGGGAGCAAACAGG